GGACCUACGGGGCGCAGCAGUGGGGAAUAUUGCGCAAUGGGGGCAACCCUGACGCAGCCAUGCCGCGUGAAUGAAGAAGGCCUUCGGGUUGUAAAGUUCUUUCGGUAGCGAGGAAGGCAUUUAGUUUAAUAGACUAGGUGAUUGACGUUAACUACAGAAGAAGCACCGGCUAACUCCGUGCCAGCAGCCGCGGUAAUACGGAGGGUGCGAGCGUUAAUCGGAAUAACUGGGCGUAAAGGGCACGCAGGCGGUGACUUAAGUGAGGUGUGAAAGCCCCGGGCUUAA
rnacentral:rRNA from 1 species